rnacentral:rRNA from 1 species
GACGAACGCUGGCGGCGUGCUUAACACAUGCAAGUCGAACAGAAAGGCCCUGCUUUUGUGGGGUGCUCGAGUGGCGAACGGGUGAGUAACACGUGAGUAACCUGCCCUUGACUUUGGGAUAACUUCAGGAAACUGGGGCUAAUACCGGAUAGGAGCUCCUGCUGCAUGGUGGGGGUUGGAAAGUUUCGGCGGUUGGGGAUGGACUCGCGGCUUAUCAGCUUGUUGGUGGGGUAGUGGCUUACCAAGGCUUUGACGGGUAGCCGGCCUGAGAGGGUGACCGGCCACAUUGGGACUGAGAUACGGCCCAGACUCCUACGGGAGGCAGCAGUGGGGAAUAUUGCACAAUGGGCGGAAGCCUGAUGCAGCAAUGCCGCGUGCGGGAUGACGGCCUUCGGGUUGUAAACCGCUUUCGCCUGUGACGAAGCGUGAGUGACGGUAAUGGGUAAAGAAGCACCGGCUAACUACGUG